CAGGUGCCCUAUUUUCAGUAUUUUUAUUUUGGUCAUUCUAACAGACAUUUAUUGGAUAUUGCUACAUGUUCCUAGGCACUGGAGACAGAAAAGCGAACAAGAAUCAACCCUGUCUCUGCCCUUGUGGAGCUCUCAAAAUAGUGGAGUAGAAAGACAAUCAAAUAAGACAUAAGUAUAAAAUUGAAACCAGAAUGUGAAGAGCAUGAUAAUAUGAGGGCCCACCAUAAUAGACAUGACACAGUCAUGGAGGGAAGACUUUCAUGAGGAGACAGACACUGAGCAGGAAUAAAGUAAACGUCCAUUUCUGUUGAGGCAAGAGAUGUUAAAGUCCUGGGCAGAAAAUGGAAAUAUUCCGAAGAAAUCAGGAAGAGGGGAUGUUUCAAUAUUUUCCUAAUAAAAGAAGUCUUUGAUGAGAAGAGUACUUUAUUUUAGAAUGUUCUUGCUUUUUGUAGUUUGAGCCUUUUAAAAGAAGAGCCUACUUUCACAUGGUUUCUAUACAGAGUGUAAUUCUACCU